rnacentral:lncRNA from 1 species
AUGCAGAGUCGUGCAACGUCCUGGCGUCCUGGCGAGGCACCUGGGGAGCACAUAUCCCCUCAAGUAGGAAAUGCACCACCUGAAAAUGCCACGGCAGACCUGGGUCUCCACUUGCACGCCGGCACUGGAGCAGACCUGAGUCCCCCUCUUGCGCCAGAGCCUCUCCAAGGGCCCCCUGUUGGCGCCUCCCCUGCCUCCUUGCUUGCCAGCAGCACCAGUGUGCGUGGGUGUGGCUUCUCUCCUCCACUGCUCUUGCCCCAGGCCACCAGGAAACAUGGGGCCAACGUCACCUUCUUGUCACACGGGGACGGCAGAAGCCACCCUGGCUGCCUCUCAGUGCCGACAGGCUCCACAGGGCUCCUCGCAGCGCUCGUCCUGCUGCGUUUCUUUCGCCAGCUUCCCCGCCCGUGCCGCGCAGGUGCCGUCCACACCCCCUGCCGCGCCAGCCACUGGCGUCAGGAAGGCACUGGGGCCGUCAGCUGUCUUACACGUCAGAAGGAACUUCUGCCCCCUUCGAGGUUGCCUGACAGGCAGUCCAGUCUUUCUCUUCACUGCAUCCCUCAGGGAAGCACGCCAUCUCCAUGCCAGGGGACUUCUGCCAGCUCGUGCUUUCUCACUUGGAAGUUGGCUAGUACUCAACCCUCUGAUGAAUGGAAGAGUAACAACUUGCUUUUCUCUCUGCUGAGGAGUGGACCCAUGGAGACAGGCAGCUUCGAGGGAGUCUCUCUUUCUAAGGCUCAGGAAGUGCUUCCCGUACAGCCACAUCUCGAUUUGCGCCGUCUCCCGUAAGACCCCCAGCUGCCUCCC